rnacentral:rRNA from 1 species
AUUGAACGCUGGCGGCAGGCCUAACACAUGCAAGUCGAACGAGUGGCGGACGGGUGAGUAAUGUCUGGGAAACUGCCCGAUGGAGGGGGAUAACUACUGGAAACGGUAGCUAAUACCGCAUACCAUCGGAUGUGCCCAGAUGGGAUUAGCUUGUAGGUGGGGUAACGGCUCACCUAGGCGACGAUCCCUAGCUGGUCUGAGAGGAUGACCAGCCACACUGGAACUGAGACACGUGCCAUACCCCUACGGGAGGCAGCAGUGGGGAAUAGUGCACAAUGUGCGCAAGCCUGAUCCAGCCAUGCCGCGUGUGUGAAGAAGGCCGUCGGAUUGGAAAGCACUUUAAGCUGGGAGGCGUUACCAACAGAAUAAGCACCGGCUAACUCCGUGCCAGCAGCCGCGGUAAUAC